rnacentral:rRNA from 1 species
GACGAACGCUGGCGGCAGGCCUAACACAUGCAAGUCGAACGCCGUAGCAAUACGGAGUGGCAGACGGGUGAGUAACGCGUGGGAACAUACCCUCCGGUUCGGAAUAACUCAGGGAAACUUGAGCUAAUACCGGAUACGUCCAAGGUUUUAAUCGGCCUUGGAGAAAGAUUUAUCGCUGGAGGAUUGGCCCGCGUCUGAUUAGCUUGUUGGUGAGGUAAUGGCUCACCAAGGCGACGANCAGUAGCUGGUCUGAGAGGAUGAUCAGCCACAUUGGGACUGAGACACGGCCCAAACUCCUACGGGAGGCAGCAGUGGGGAAUAUUGGACAAUGGGCGAAAGCCUGAUCCAGCCAUGCCGCGUGAGUGAUGAAGGCCUUAGGGUUGUAAAGCUCUUUUACCCGGGAAGAUAAUGACGGUACCGGGAGAAUAAGCCCCGGCUAACUUCGUGCCAGCCGCCGCCGUAAG